UUCAGGUUAUUGCGGAGGUGAUGGAGGCAUCCAUUGAGGAUUAUGAGGAGGGCCUGUGGGCUUGCGCUAAUGCUGCUAAGAUCUAGAUGCAGAUUCCAGCACCUCAAAGAGGAGAGAUUGUUAGACAGAUUGACGAAGCACUAAGAACGAAGUUGUACUACCUUGGUAGACUUGUCUCCCUUGAGAUGGGGAAGAUACUUCCUGAAGGGAUCGGGGAAGUUCAAACAUUGAUACGCGAAGAGGAGGAAGAAGCACUACUUGAUCAGAAUAUGGAGGAUUAAGAUGCAGAAUAUAGAAAAAUAAAAGUCCAUGGCUGCAUAUAUCAAGAGAAAGGUUUGUUCUGCCUUGGUGCAACUUAUAGAAGUUCGACCAUCAUUCCUAGAGUGUCUUUUCAGAUAUUUUGAAGGUGAAUGGAGGUAUU